GUUGAAUAGUUAAUGGCCUAUAUACUAUAUUUUACCACCUACCGGUUUGCAUAUUCUUAAGUAUAUCCUUUGUUUGUUAGAAGAGAAAAUUAAUGUAAAAGGUUCAUCAAACAAAAAUUUUCUUUCACAUUAAUCUAUUGCUUCUGUUGUCUUCUAUAUGAUGCUCGGAUUUUUUUGCUGUGUAUAUGAUUCACUUCUUGGUAGGUACAUUUAUUGUUCUUGUAGAGGAGAGAUAAUGUUCCCUUGAAAAUCCUUUUGUUCAUGGGUUUGGCAGCCCUGCAGUAUUUGAUUCAAUGCAGUGUUUUUAGAACGAAAAACUAUUGCUGAAAAAUAAAUUAAUAGAAUGUGAUACUAAGUUUCAUUGCUGAUCUUUCUUUACUACUCAAAUGGUAAAAUAAGAUUGAAACUAAAAUGUUGAGAUUAGUGGAAAUGUGAUGCCUACAAAUUUUGGGCUCGUGGAGUUGCUGAUAAGGUAGAUUUAUUUUAUAUUGAUAAGUAGAAUGAAAUUUGAAUUUCUGCCUGUUUCAGAAUGCAACUUGAUUACAAUAUCUCUAAUCAAUUUAUUCAUGUAUCAUGUGGCUGUCUGCAUCUUUUAUGUUAAAUUUCACAUCUGUGUAUGUUACUAGUAAAACGGGCGUCGCCUGAAAAGUUUUAGAGGAAUUAUGUCGGAUUUACUUGUCCAGAAGUAGUGUCAAUUGCCA
rnacentral:misc_RNA from 1 species